UCCUAUAAAUUUUGCAAUAACUUUAUUUCACAUACUCAACGAGAAGAGAAGAUGUAAUUAUGUAUCUAUUACAUGUCUCGAUACGAUUUCGAGGAUGAGCGUCAGCAACGCUGCGAAAGAGAAUAAAAUUAAAUGAAACGAUGGAUAAAACAUCGGCCAACAAAGAUUCAUCGGGUUUGCUGGAAUAAAUUAGGAGGCGCAACUGUAAACUACACUCUACUUUAAAAUAGCUCUGAAAAAUUUGUCUCGACGUCCAAUCCAGUAUACAUACCUACUUUGUAUAGUAUAUCAUACAUCCGUACGAAAAACUAUUCCAGUCAAACACCGAGGAAAACUAGGCCGACAACGCUUUGGACAAACGUAGCGAAAACUGAUGCAUGGUAACAUGAAAAACAAUUAUUUGUGGAAUAAUAAUUUUAAGAUGUGAAUAUAUAUAUAUAUAUAUAAAACUCAACUGUGAUUUCGUUAAUCGUUUUUUCAUUUUUAAAUUAUGUAACAAGGAAUUAAUAAGUUGACAAUAAACGUCGCCGUCCAUUGGCCAUGAUAA